UGGCGCGUGCGUUUGGCGGCCUUUAACGGCUGCUUUUCGGCGUCUCCGAACACGAAUAGUCACGCAUUGUUUCAGUCUGUCUUUAUACCAGUACAGUGUGUCGUAAAAUUGACAAAAAUAGUGAAAUUGUUUAAUGAUAACACCCCGGACAAGGCUGCUGGAACCUGUUAUGUAAUAUUUCGCAAAAUAAAUUGAAUUGCUGUGAACGAGAAACACCCGUGUAAAAGCUCUUGCCAGAAAACAGAAGGAACAGCUGACGGUAGCUUGGCAAAAGCAGAGAGACGUUGAGAAGAGUAGUGCUGGUGUGUAUGCAAUGGCAAAAUGGACAACAAUGAUCAUUCCUCUGGAGAAUUGCCGUCCGUAUGUGUUCAAUAAGUAAUGCGCUCAUCCUUUCAUCCACCGGAAGCAUCGAAUGAAAACCCUGCAGUCCAGAGAAACGUUUAAGCCCCGGAAGCUUCUCGCGGUGUCUGCACCAGUAGCUCCGCCAGGCGGAUUACAAGAUGAACUUGCCUCACAGUUCACUGACCCUUUGACCUUUGACCCCCGCCGCCGCCGCCUUGGAGUCGCGUGACCGUGGUGACGCGCUGAUGUGGCUCACAGUGCUUCCACGUCCUUGCCCGUGAUACAGGUAAAGGUACUCACCUCACAGCUGCCAUCUGUGGAGUCUGUUCAGUUCAGCACUGGGUUGGUGUCCGCCAUCUUAGCUUUGACCAUCAAAGCAAAGCAAACAUCAUUAUUUCUCACUGUGUACUGUCAGAUAAAAUUUAAUCACAUUGAACAUAUUUUACAUGUAGGUUAAGUGAGGGGUUCUAGCAGGCAAUAUCGCUUGUGUUCAGUACUUAGAGUUCUGAACAUUUUAACAAGGGCAUUGACUGUUGGAUCCGCUCGAUUCAGAAAAUAAACACAUUUUUAAUUAAUCCUUGCUUCUCCCACAAUACAAAUAAUGUGAUAUAUUUCCUAUAAGCUAUGACAUGGCAGAUUUGUGUUAGAGCAACUCGUGCUCAAGUUCAGCCUGGUGCUUUGUUGGUGGGUAUUUCAGUUUGUAAAAGCACAGCGUUUUAUAUCACCUCGGAUACGACUGUGAAUCUCGUUCUGCUGCGAUUCUACAAGAUUGGCAUCAAACGUGUUGGCAAAGAUGGUCAAAUGUAACAACCUUUAAAAUAGUGCUGAAAAGGAAUUUUUGAAAUCCCCAGUGUUUGAUAUAUCGCGUGUGUGGUAUUUGCCUCUUGAUACACCCGGACGGGACAGGAGGAAGCUGAAAACAAAUGAUUUAAUUUAGAGUCUCUCGCUGAGCGGACUCCAAUCAGACCUGCUGAGGACAAGCCAAGAUAUCUCCAACACCACCGUGCUUUUCAGUUCCCUCUGUGUGCAUGAGCCAGUCGCCACCACAAAGGGGGGGGGGGGGUGUUUGUGUCUAGCAGCACAUUGUUUAUUUGAGACUAGAUCCAAGAUAAUUAUAUAUAUAUAUAUAUAUAUAUAUAUACACAUAAACAUGACCCGCCUUUAGUGUAUAUAGCUUUGGUCUGUUGACUCAAAAACUACCUGGUCUGAACAUGUCGAUAUGCUGGCCCCUGAAACCCCGCCCUGAGGCCCCACCCUGGAUCCGGAUGCCCUGGGAGAGGAGGGCCCCCGUGUUUGUGCCUCAUCCCGCUGUGCCUUGUCUGUGAGGA